UCUCUCUUUCUCUCUUUCUUUCUUAUUUUGUUAACUUUCAUCAAAAUUGCCUUAGUCGAUGACGUGCUGCCAUGAUUUUUAAUAUUCAUUUUGUUUUUCAUCUUUUUUUCCUGAAUGAGAUCGGCAUUCAAGCAUGCAUAAGUUUUUAGUACAAGAAAUAGAUAUAUUCUUUAGUAUUAUUUGCUGUGUGACUUGGAAGAGUAGAAACCCAUCUCAAUUCGUGACUAUAUAGUCUAUAAAAUUUAAUUUUUUGCAGGCUAUAUAGUCUAAGAUGGAUCGCAAGAGUUGGCCAUGGAAGAAGAAAUCAUCUGAGAAAACAGUGGCUGCAACAGAUUCUGCCGCUGCUUCUUUGGCUAUCUCAGCUGGAAAUCAAGGGGAUCAAACCAGGAGACUACUUUGACUCUGCUGAUUGGGAAAAGGAAAAGGUUUUAAUUAACAUUGCACCUAGUUUUCUGAGCCCAAUGAGUUGUAAAAUCCAAAAUGCCCACACUCCAUCGAUGUUGUUUCUAAUGUCCAGAUUUAGGGUUAUAACUUCUAUUAUAUGACUAUUCAUGUGCUUUUUUUUUUGCCUUUUUUUUUUUUUUUUUUGGGUAUGAACACUCUAUGGUGUUUUACUUUUAAAAUCCUUAUACCUUCCUGGUAAUGUUAUUCUAUUUGACAUUGUUAGGGUGCGGUUUUGAAUUUUAUGUCUUUAUCCUGCUUCUACAGUUGCUGUUGUUGUUCUAUUUAUCAUGCUUUCUUAUGGUGCUUUGAGUACAGAGUUUGGAAGAGAAGAUACCUAACUUUCGGGGGCACUUAAUCACAUUGAUAAAUGCAGAUAUGCCAAACAUGCUAAUUUAAGUUCUAUUUCAGUGCCCUUGUAGUUUCCUCAAUUGGCUGGAUAAAUCUGAAGGGCUUCCUUUUGGAGAUGGGCCAAAUAAAAACACAAAUUCCAUCUCAUGGAGUGGAGUGAGAUGUGCAAACUGGAAAGCAUAUGCAGGAUGGAAAUCAGAUCAGUAAAAAUUAUAAAUAUGGUGUUCCAUGGGAAAUGGUUGUAGAUGUUCGGGGUGGAGGCUGAUAGUUCUUGGGAAAAAGUUGCCAAAUAUGGUGAGAGAAUGUUGGCCGUUGGUUUUCUAAGGCUUCGUCUUAGUUUCCUCAAUUGGCUGGAAA